GUACCCUGGUAGUCCACGCCGUAAACGAUGUCGACUUGGAGGUUGUUCCCUUGAGGAGUGGCUUCCGGAGCUAACGCGUUAAGUCGACCGCCUGGGGAGUACGGCCGCAAGGUUAAAACUCAAAUGAAUUGACGGGGGCCCGCACAAGCGGUGGAGCAUGUGGUUUAAUUCGAUGCAACGCGAAGAACCUUACCUACUCUUGACAUCCAGGGAAUUUAGCAGAGAUGCUUUGGUGCCUUCGGGAACGGUGAGACAGGUGCUGCAUGGCUGUCGUCAGCUCGUGUUGUGAAAUGUUGGGUUAAGUCCCGCAACGAGCGCAACCCUUAUCCUUUGUUGCCAGCGAUUCGGUCGGGAACUCAAAGGAGACUGCCGGUGAUAAACCGGAGGAAGGUGGGGAUGACGUCAAGUCAUCAUGGCCCUUACGAGUAGGGCUACACACGUGCUACAAUGGCGCAUACAAAGAGAAGCGACCUCGCGAGAGCAAGCGGACCUCACAAAGUGCGUCGUAGUCCGGAUCGGAGUCUGCAACUCGACUCCGUGAAGUCGGAAUCGCUAGUAAUCGUGGAUCAGAAUGCCACGGUGAAUACGUUCCCGGGCCUUGUACACACCGCCCGUCACACCAUGGGAGUGGGUUGCAAAAGAAGUAGGUAGCUUAACCUUCGGGAGGGCGCUACCACUUUGAAUCGUUGG
rnacentral:rRNA from 1 species